rnacentral:rRNA from 1 species
CCUACGGGAGGCAGCAGUGGGGAAUCUUGCACAAUGGAGGAAACUCUGAUGCAGCGAUGCCGCGUGAGUGAAGAAGGCCUUUGGGUUGUAAAGCUCUUUUGUAGGGGAAGAUAAUGACUGUACCCUAAGAAUAAGGUCCGGCUAACUUCGUGCCAGCAGCCGCGGUAAUACGAAGGGACCUAGCGUAGUUCGGAAUUACUGGGCGUAAAGCGCGCGUAGGCCGUUGAGUUAGUUAAUUGUGAAAUCCCAAAGCUUAACUUUGGAACUGCAAUUAAAACUGCUCGACUAGAGUUUGAUAGAGGAAAGCGGAAUACAUAGUGUAGAGGUGAAAUUCGUAGAUAUUAUGUAGAACACCAGUUGCGAAGGCGGCUUUCUGGAUCAACACUGACGCUGAGGCGCGAAAGUAUGGGUAGCAAAGAGGAUUAGAUACCCUCGUAGUCCAUACCAUAAACGAUGAUUGCUAGAUGUUGGAAAUUUAUUUCAGUAUCGCAGCUAACGCAUUAAUACACUACCGUCCGUCGGGUAGGUACGACCGACCGAACGUUAAACGUAACGAAAGGAAAGUUAGACGGCGUGAGACGUAGACCGACGGACGACGACGAGGGAGGUAGG